AACGCUCAUAAUAAGUGCCUCUCACGGGCCU
rnacentral:sRNA from 1 species